AGAACGAACGCUGGCGGCAGGCCUAAUACAUGCAAGUCGAGCGGAUGUAGCAAUACAUCAGCGGCGCACGGGAGAAUAACACGUGGGAACCUACCUUUUGGUUCGGAAUAACACCGGGAAACUGGUGCUAAUACCGGAUAAGCCCUUCGGGGGAAAGAUUUAUUGCCGAAAGAUGGGCCCGCGUUGGAUUAGCUAGUUGGUGAGGUAACGGCUCACCAAGGCAACGAUCCAUAGCUGGUUUGAGAGAAUGAUCAGCCUCACUGGGACUGAGACACGGCCCAGACUCCUACGGGAGGCAGCAGUAGGGAAUAUUGGACAAUGGGGGCAACCCUGAUCCAGCCAUGCCGCGUGAAUGAUGAAGGCCUUCGGGUUGUAAAGUUCUUUGCAGGGGACGAUGAUGACGGUACCCUGAGAAUAAGCUCCGGCUAACUUCGUCGCCAGCAGCCGC
rnacentral:rRNA from 1 species